UAGGGAAUCUUCGGCAAUGGACGAAAGUCUGACCGAGCAACGCCGCGUGAGUGAAGAAGGUUUUCGGAUCGUAAAACUCUGUUGUUAGAGAAGAACAAGGACGUUAGUAACUGAACGUCCCCUGACGGUAUCUAACCAGAAAGCCACGGCUAACUACGUGCCAGCAGCCGCGGUAAUACGUAGGUGGCAAGCGUUGUCCGGAUUUAUUGGGCGUAAAGCGAGCGCAGGCGGUUUCUUAAGUCUGAUGUGAAAGCCCCCGGCUCAACCGGGGAGGGUCAUUGGAAACUGGGAGACUUGAGGGCAGAAGAGGAGGGUGGAAUUCCAUGUGUAGCGGUGGAAUGCGUAGAUGUAUGGAGGAACACCAGUGGCGAAGGCGGCUCUAUGGUCUGUAACUGACGCUGAGGCUCGAAAGCGUGGGGAGCAAACAGG
rnacentral:rRNA from 1 species